rnacentral:rRNA from 1 species
GAUUAAAGAUUUACCGGUGAUGGAUGGGGAUGCGUCUGAUUAGCUUGUUGGCGGGGUAACGGCCCACCAAGGCAACGAUCAGUAGGGGUUCUGAGAGGAAGGUCCCCCACAUUGGAACUGAGACACGGUCCAAACUCCUACGGGAGGCAGCAGUGAGGAAUAUUGGUCAAUGGACGAGAGUCUGAACCAGCCAAGUAGCGUGCAGGAUGACGGCCCUAUGGGUUGUAAACUGCUUUUAUAAGGGAAUAAAGUGAGUCUCGUGAGACUUUUUGCAUGUACCUUAUGAAUAAGGACCGGCUAAUUCCGUGCCAGCAGCCGCGGUAAUACGGAAGGUCCGGGCGUUAUCCGGAUUUAUUGGGUUUAAAGGGAGCGUAGGCCGGAGAUUAAGCGUGUUGUGAAAUGUAGAUGCUCAACAUCUGCACUGCAGCGCGAACUGGUUUCCUUGAGUACGCACAAAGUGGGCGGAAUUCGUGGUGUAGCGGUGAAAUGCUUAGAUAUCACGAAGAACUCCGAUUGCGAAGGCAGCUCACUGGAGCGCAACUGACGCUGAAGCUCGAAAGUGCGGGUAUCGAACAGGAUUAGAUACCCUGGUAGUCCGCACGGUAAACGAUGGAUGCCCGCUGUUGGUCUGAAUAGGUCAGCGGCCAAGCGAAAGCAUUAAGCAUCCCACCUGGGG